UAGGUUGAUGCAAAAGUAAUUGGGAUUUUUGAAAGUAAUGUGGUAAAAAUAAAAUUACUUUUGCACCGAGUGUA
rnacentral:miRNA from 1 species